UGUGGCCAUAUAGAUCAAAGUGUAGAAAUAAAAAAGUUCGGCUAUACAUAGUGUCGCGCCCAAAAGCAUUUCUUCGUUUGUUUUUUUUUCUUACAGAAGGGGCUAGCGCCACGGACUCCGCUACCGAUCCGUCCAAUAUGAGAGUCUGAUAACUGAUAGCC